rnacentral:tmRNA from 1 species
AAACAGUAUUGAAGCUACACCCGUAGAAGAGUCAGAAUCCAAGUAUCGGACGGGGGUUCAAUUCCCCCCAUCUCCACCA